AGUGAACGCUGGCGGUAGGCCUAAACAUGCAAGUCGAACGGCAGCACAGGAGAGCUUGCUCUCUGGGUGGCGAGUGGCGGACGGGUGAGGAAUACAUCGGAAUCUACUUUUUCGUGGGGGAUAACGUAGGGAAACUUACGCUAAUACCGCAUACGACCUACGGGUGAAAGCAGGGGAUCUUCGGACCUUGCGCGAUUGAAUGAGCCGAUGUCGGGUUAGUUAGUUGGCGGGGGAAAGGCCCACCAAGGCGAAGAUCCGUAGCUGGUCGGAGAGGAUGAUCAGCCACACUGGAACUGGGACACGGUCCAGACUCCUACGGGAGGCAGCAGUGGGGAAUAUUGGACAAUGGGCGCAAGCCUGAUCCAGCCAUACCGCGUGGGUGAAGAAGGCCUUCGGGUUGUAAAGCCCUUUUGUUGGGAAAGAAAUCCAGCUGGUUAAUACCCGGUUGGGAUGGCGGUACCCAAAGAAUAAGCACCGGCUAACUUCGUGCCAGCCGCCGCCGUAA
rnacentral:rRNA from 1 species